CGGGUGUGGCGGGCCAAUAUAGUCAGCCGAGCGCGAGAGUGAGGAGCUUGCUCUAUGAUGAGCGGGGUGACGUCACGUAGGCAACCUACCCUUGAGAUUGGGAAACACCGGGAAACGGUAGCUUAAUACCGGAUACGACUUUUCCACAUAAGUGGAAUUGUUAAAAGGCGGAUUUAUUCCUGCCGCAUCAUGGAUGGGCCUGCGGUGCAUUAGCUAGUUGGUGAGGUAGUGGCUCACCAAGGCGACGAUGCAUAGCCGACCUGAGAGGGUGAUCGGCCACACUGGGACUGAGACACGGCCCAGACUCCUACGGGAGGCAGCAGUAGGGAAUCUUCCGCAAUGGACGCAAGUCUGACGGAGCAACGCCGCGUGAGUGAUGAAGGGUUUCGGCUCGUAAAACUCUGUUGUUAAGGAAGAACACUUGAGGUAGUAACUGGCCUUGAGAUGACGGUACUUAACCAGAAAGCCACGGCCAACUACGUGCCAGCAGCCGCGGUAAUACGUAGGUGGCAAGCGUUAUCCGGAAUUAUUGGGCGUAAAGCGCGCGUAGGCGGUAAAAUAAGUCUGAUGUGAAAGCCCCCGGCUCAACCGGGGAGGGUCAUUGGAAACUGUUUUACUUGAGUACAGAAGAGGAGAGUGGAAUUCCAUGUGUAGCGGUGAAAUGCGCAGAGAUAUGGAGGAACACCAGUGGCGAAGGCGGCUCUCUGGUCUGUAACUGACGCUGAGGUGCGAAAGCGUGGGGAUCAAACAGGAUUAGAUACCCUGGUAGUCCACGCCGUAAACGAUGAGUGCUAGGUGUUGGGGGGGUUUCCCGCCCCCUCAGUGCUGCAGCCUAAACGGCAUUAAGG
rnacentral:rRNA from 1 species